rnacentral:rRNA from 1 species
AUUGAACGCUGGCGGCAUGCCUUACACAUGCAAGUCGAACGGCGGCAUGGAGAGCUUGCUCUCUGAUGGCGAGUGGCGAACGGGUGAGUAAAGCAUCGGAACGUACCGUGUAGUGGGGGAUAACGUAGCGAAAGUUACGCUAAUACCGCAUACGCACUGAGGUGGAAAGCAGGGGAGCGCAAGACCUUGCGCUAUACGAGCGGCCGAUGUCAGAUUAGCUAGUUGGUAGGGUAAAGGCCUACCAAGGCGACGAUCUGUAGCGGGUCUGAGAGGAUGAUCCGCCACACUGGGACUGAGACACGGCCCAGACUCCUACGGGAGGCAGCAGUGGGGAAUUUUGGACAAUGGGGGCAACCCUGAUCCAGCCAUGCCGCGUGAGUGAAGAAGGCCUUCGGGUUGUAAAGCUCUUUCGGCCGGGAAGAAAUCGCACAGGCUAAUACUCUGUGUGGAUGACGGUACCGGCAUAAGAAGCACCGGCUAACUACGUGCCAGCCGCCGCCGUAA